UACGAAGGGGGCUAGCGUUGCUCGGAAUCACUGGGCGUAAAGGGUGCGUAGGCGGGUCUUUAAGUCAGGGGUGAAAUCCUGGAGCUCAACUCCAGAACUGCCUUUGAGACUGCAUCGCUUGAAUCCAGGAGAGGUGAGUGGAAUUCCGAGUGUAGAGGUGAAAUUCGUAGAUAUUCGGAAGAACACCAGUGGCGAAGGCGGCUCACUGGUCCGGUACUGACGCUGAGGUGCGAAAGCGUGGGGAGCAAACAGG
rnacentral:rRNA from 1 species